UACAGAGGUCCCAAGCGUUGUUCGGAUUCAUUGGGCGUAAAGGGCGCGUAGGCGGACCACCAAGUCCGGGGUGAAAUCCUUCGGCUUAACCGGAGAAUUGCCUGGGAUACUGGUGGUCUUGAGGGAGGUAGGGGCACGCGGAACUUCCGGUGGAGCGGUGAAAUGCGUUGAUAUCGGAAGGAACGCCGGUGGCGAAAGCGGCGUGCUGGCCCUCUUCUGACGCUGAGGCGCGAAAGCCAGGGGA
rnacentral:rRNA from 1 species